rnacentral:rRNA from 1 species
GACGAACGCUGGCGGCGUGCUUAACACAUGCAAGUCGAACGGUGAAGCGCCUUCCUUUUUGGUGGGUGUGGAUGAGUGGCGAACGGGUGAGUAACACGUGAGUAACCUGCCCCCUUCUUCUGGAUAACCGCAUGAAAGUGUGGCUAAUACGGGAUAUUCUGGGUCUGUCGCAUGAUGGGUCUGGGAAAGAUAUUGUUUCGGUGGGGGAUGGGCUCGCGGCCUAUCAGCUUGUUGGUGGGGUGAUGGCCUACCAAGGCGGUGACGGGUAGCCGGCCUGAGAGGGUGGACGGUUACACUGGGACUGAGACACGGCCCAGACUCCUACGGGAGGCAGCAGUGGGGAAUAUUGCACAAUGGGCGCAAGCCUGAUGCAGCGACGCCGCGUGAGGGAUGGAGGCCUGCGGGUUGUGAACCUCUUUCGCCAGUGAAGCAGGCCUGCCUCGUUUGUGGGUGGGUUGACGGUAGCUGGAUAAGAAGCGCCGGCUAACUACGUG